ensembl:processed_transcript
AAAUAAAAAAUUCCUGACAUACCAGGAAGUGCUUCGGCCACCUGGGAGAGACACUUGCUCCAUCACAUCAAUAGAGCUAAAGAUAAAGCUGAUGAGAGUCAGUCUGAGAUUAAGGAACUGAAAAACCAAUUAGUGAAAUUACAAGUGAACAAAGCCAGACAAGAAGUCAAUGAUCAAAAGAAAAAAGAUAAACAUAAAGGUAAACAAUUGCUGCAGUCACCUGACCCUGAACAAUCUUACAUGGAACCUGUUUACAACCAGCCACCAAACCAAACACCUAAAUGCCAACCUUAAUUUAGAAGACAGAAUAGGAGAGGCAUGGGGGUCAAGGGGGUUCUGGGGCUUACAAGGGGCAUGGGUGUGGAGAGGGCUGUUUCAGGUGUGGCCGCCUAAGUCAGCUACAUCGCAACUGCCAGACUAGUCAAUGCUACACAUGCAAUCAGCUGGGACACAUUUCGACAAGAUGUCCCAAGGGACAAAAUCCGUAUGCCGAGAGAGGGGACGUGGAAGGAGGCUAAGGCUUCGUGGCACCACUUGCGGGAGAAGCUCCAAACCCUGGAGGACAGAACCCAGGGCAGGGUGGAACACAAUAUCCACUCUGGGGAGGACAGGAGCAUUUCUGAGGAGGCCCACAGGGAGAUCCAAGCGUGGCUAAGGCGGAGCCACUGCUUUCUAUGGAGGUUAAUAAUGACUGUCCAGACUUUUUUGGUUGACACAGGUGCCACCUAUUCAACGUUGAUUACCCCUGUCGAUCAGGACUUGAUUUAAAAAAAAAAACUGUGGAAGUAAUGGCUUUCACUUGAGAAAUGUGAAAGAUUGUCUUUAACUGAGCCAAUACCAGUGUCUGUUGAUGGACAACAACUGAAACAUCACUUUCUGUUGUCAGACAGAGACCCCACAAACUUAUGGGGCAGAGACUUGCUGAUAAAGCUUGAUGCAUCAUUCUAUGCUGUGCUGAU